CACAACAGAGUCAACCCCACUGCUUCCCACUAGACAACAGUGUGCUGCAGCUUUCCCACACAUGCAUUCACGGGCAUGAAUCUCACUGGCAUUUUUGCACACCAGAACAGUAACAACAGCAGGAGGAAAAUAAAUAAAUAAAUAAAUAAAUAAUCAAGCUGUGAAAGCUUAAAACCAGUACCUGAAAGCAGCUCAAAGGCAGCAAUGGAGGCAUCUAUAGAAGAGGAGAGCCCUGCACCCUGUUCUCCAUGGCACAGCUGCAGAAAUGGUCCGUAAUGUCAAGAUUUAAAGAAACAGAGGAACAAAACUGCAACUCAUCAGAUUUUAUCCAGGUCAAGAGAUCAAGAGGAGCAGGAAUGGGAGAUACCAGGCCAUUCUCCUGUGGUCUGUAUGCAUUGCUGGAUUUCCCAAACUCAGCACAGGGGGUCGAUAAGAGGAGGCUUUGAACCUUUGCUUCAACUUCUCACCCAGACCUGAGUACAGGUAAUACAACUCCUUCCUGGCCUUCCUGCAAACCAGAGGCAGCUCAAAUCAUCCAGAAGGUGUUGGUCACUGGAAAUUAUUCCUCUACUGGGGAUCUCAGACUGAAGAAACCCCACAUCCAGAUGAAGGAUCCCCAACUUUUUCCUCUUCCACGUACAUCCACCCCUGCAGACCUCAGCUCUGUAGCACAGAAGUACAGCAGUACAGAAAGUAUCUAAACAGAGAUAUUAACAGAAAAACAAUCCUGAGCUUCCCUGAGGCUAACUUAUUUCCCUUUGCAGUUUGAAUCAAUAUUUCUACACAUGAAGAUCCUCAAAACCACAAGUAGGCUA
rnacentral:lncRNA from 1 species